rnacentral:rRNA from 1 species
AUACGGAGGGUCCAAGCGUUAUCCGGAAUCAUUGGGUUUAAAGGGUCCGCAGGCGGUCAAUUAAGUCAGAGGUGAAAGCCCAUCGCUCAACGAUGGAACUGCCUUUGAUACUGGUUGACUUGAGUUAUACGGAAGUAGAUAGAAUAAGUAGUGUAGUGGUGAAAUGCAUAGAUAUUACUUAGAAUACCGAUUGCGAAGGCAGUCUACUACGUAUAUACUGACGCUGAGGGACGAAAGCGUGGGGAGCGAACAGGAUUAGAAACCCCAGUAGUCC